CCUACGGGAGGCUGCAGUGGGGAAUAUUGGACAAUGGGGGGAACCCUGAUCCAGCCAUGCCGCGUGUGUGAAGAAGGCCCUCGGGUUGUAAAGCACUUUCAGUGAGGAAGAACGCCUGGUGGUUAAUACCCAUCAGGAAAGACAUCACUCACAGAAGAAGCACCGGCUAACUCCGUGCCAGCAGCCGCGGUAAUACGGAGGGUGUGAGCGUUAAUCGGAAUUACUGGGCGUAAAGCGCGCGUAGGUGGCUUGAUAAGCCGGUUGUGAAAGCCCCGGGCUCAACCUGGGAACGGCAUCCGGAACUGUCAAGCUAGAGUGCAGGAGAGGAAGGUAGAAUCCCCGGUGUAGCGGUGAAAUGCGUAGAGAUCGGGAGGAAUACCAGUGGCGAAGGCGGCCUUCUGGACUGACACUGACACUGAGGUGCGAAAGCGUGGGUAGCAAACAGGAUUAGAUACCCUAGUAGUC
rnacentral:rRNA from 1 species